GUUUAGAUGGCUGCUAAGAGGACAACUGGUGAGCAAGCAUUGAAAUAUGCUGACAGAUAUAGAGAAUUAAUCUGAAACAAGUGCAGUGAGAACAUCCUCAUCCUAGGGCAAGCUGGGUCACCCUUCAUGAUGUUCAGCUGUGGUUUCGACACACAGAAAAUGAAACCCUCUCUGUGCUGAAGUCAAUGCUGAAGCCUCAGUAGGACUGCGGGUUUUAUCCCAGCUGCUGAAACAAAAUAUGGAAAAAUGUUGAGGACCUGGACACACCUCCUUAAAAAGCUUGACAGAAAUCUGCACAGAGGCAGGCACUGAACAUGUUUCUUGGGUCCCUUAUUUGUAUAUUAAAACCCUACCUUUUGGUUGCUAACUCCUAAUGCUAAAAAAUAUAAGUGGCAAUAAAAGACUGGCCAUGACAUUGGGCUGAGCUAUGCAAUGAAAAAAAA